ACAAGCUAGAUGAGGAACCAAAACUGAGGACUGGAUCAACAAGAGGCCAGGUCGGGCGGGUAGCCCAUUUUGGCCUCAUGGCACCCGGGAGCGCCCGCCAAGCUGACCAGAAGCUGGGAUCCAGACUCAGGAUCAGGAGGCUGCAAUGCAAAUCUCCAGUUUUAAAUUCUGAUUUCCUUUCCAGUCUUAACAAGAAUUGUACCUUCGGCAUAGGGAGGUUCCCAGGCUAGGAGUUCAAGCAGAGCUACAGCGGCCAGCCUCCGCCACAGCCUCAGCAAUGCAGGAUCCGAGCUGCGUCUGCGACCUACACCACAGCUCACAGCAACGCCAGAUCCUUAACCCACUGAGCAAAGCCAGGAGUCGAGUCUGCAACCUCGUGGUUCCUAGGCAGAUUCGUUUCCGCUGAGCCAUGACGGGAGCUCCAUUAAGUAAACUUCUCUUCUUCUUCUUUUUUUUUUUUUUUUUAAAAAAAAACUCUCUUUUUAUAAGAAGGAAAUUAAAUAUGUUGAAUGGAUAGCCUAAUUACCUUAUUUAAGAAUAUCUUUUUCACUAAGAAAAUCAAAUGAAUAUAUUUAAAUGAAAUAGCAGUUGAGAAGUGCAAAAUAGCUUUAAAAACCAGAAAACAAAGAUACAUAAUUUUGCAAUGAAUUAGAAUACUUUUAUCUACUAUUUAGAUAAUUUGUGUAUUGCCUUACUAAAUUGAUUGUCUAGAAUAUCCUCACCACUGAAACUUAACAGUCUUCUAGGUCUUUACUGGUAAGAUGAUUGAGGUAAACUCCUCUUCUUAACCAUUCUUCAUGUCACCCCCUGUGGACAUGUGUUUUUUCUUAAAUUACAAGUAGGUACUACUGUCAGUCCACAUAUUAAAACAUGUGGUAUUAAAACAUAUUAAUACAUGUGGUAACAUGUAUUUUUUAUCUUAUUUUUUAGUUAGAAAAGAGCACAGCCGCCAGCUUAAUCCCCUGGCAUGUGACCCUGACAUGUGACCCUGGCGUGGCUGGCAUGAGACCCUAGCAGGUGACCCUGGCAUGGAUGGCGCCUCCAGGAUUCCCAAAGCUGAGACUGGUGUUCCUCACGCCCAGUGCCGAGGGCUGUGGGCUUGGGAAAAGUGGCGGCUUGAAAACCACAACUGCGAGCGCCAGAGGAAAAGCUGGCUUCUAUCCCUUGUUCUCAGUGUCCCAGACCGACCCAGGCCUGGUCUGAUCUUUCCAAAACUCCCCUCCUGCAGACCUGAGCGUGGCCCACGUGGUGAAGUGGGUUUCAAGCUGGCGCAUGGCUGGCUGGCAUGACGGGAAAUAUCAAAGAUGGUUUGAUUCGGGUCUUGGCCCCUUUUCAUUCUCUUUUGACCCCAUUUUUUUUCAAAGGCCCUGAAUUAAGGACCAGAAAUGAAAGACUUCUCCGAAGUUCUGCAGGCACCUCACUUUAAACCUGGAAGAGAAAUUCAUAGUUCUGUUUUUUUCUCCUCCUUUUAGGGCCGCACUUGCAGCACAUGAAACUUCCAGGCUAGAGGUCGAAUCGGAGCUGCAGCUGCCGGUCUACACCACAGCCACAGCAACGUGGGGUCCAAACUGCACACCUGUGACCUACACCACAGCUCACAGCAAUGCCAGACUCUUAACCCACUGAGUGAGGCCAGGUAUCGAACCUGCAUCUUUAUGAACACUAUGUUGGGUUCUUAAUCUGCUUAACCAAAACAGAAACCCCAAGAGAAACCCACAGUUUAAACCACGAAUAAUGUCCAGGAGCUGCAAAGCUUGGACAGACAUGUGGUUGUGGCUUUGUGAGUAUGAAUCUCGGGAGCCCCACGGACCCGCUGUGGGGGGACCCCAGGUUCUGGGAACAUUAGGGCGGGAGCAGGGGGCUUCACUCUCCCAGGGAUUGGAGCCACUCUGGACCCCAAGCCCAGGUGACGGGCCCUGUCUUGACAUCCAGCCCGACCCCAGUGUCUCCAGUCGGCUCUCCUGCUGUGGGCCCCUCCCCAGUGAUGCUCACGGGUCACUGCUACACCAAUGGCGGCCAGCAUGGUGCUGGGUACUCGGAGCAGGGCGUUCUCCCAGUUUCCUCCAGGAACUCCUCCAUGCCAACCCUGGACCUCCUCACUGUGGAAGACUCUGCUGGGCAUGGAAGGUGAUUCUGGCUGAGAUACUGGCAGGGUAUGGGGACCGCUUCUGCUUGUCUGGCCCUGUUUGCCCCAGGGCUGGGCUCAGGAGUCAUGGACCCUGCAGUGCAGGAGGACCUGGAGCUAAAAGUCUGCCUCGGCCUCAACCCUGGCACAGAAGCCUAGCACCUAUGUACUCCCGCCUCUGGCCUCUAAAUGGGACAAUGCUAGGGUCCCUCGGGGGUGCCACGAAGAUAAAAAGACACAAAGAAAUGACCCAAGUGGUCAGGACUGGACUUUCUGAGCUCCGUCCCCUCACAGGGGCUGCCUUGGCCUGACCUAGUGUCCAGGGCUGUGACGGGUGAGGUGGGGGUGCAGGGGUGCCAGGAGCCUGGAGUCUGAAAGACGCUGCUUGGCUGAGCAGUGGACAGGGUCACCUCGAGGCAGGGAUGGGCCCUGAUGCUGGCGUCCAGAGAGGUCAGCAGGCCUGGAUAACAUCAGCGGGGAAAGGCACUGCUGUUCCAGGAAGCAGGAGGGCUGAUGCAUAGGUGCAAUUGCCCCACAGACACCCCCGGCCAGCCUCCAGCCCCAUUGGCUUGGAGUCAGAUAGUCACUGAGACCCUCCUUCUGGACCCCUCCCCCGCCCACCACCAGCCUAGCCCUGACCUUCAAUCCCUGUGUGGCUCCUUGGCCUGUUCCCGUGGCAGUUUCUGCUCAUGGCUGGAGCUGCCUGAUGACCAGGCGCUUGAAGCAGCACUCAGCUCCUAAAUCAAAACAAACAUUGCAUUUCCCAAACACCUUUUUAUUUCAACAAAACUACCUUCCUUCUGAAGUGAGAUGUUGCAGAGACGCGCUGUUACUUGACAGGCCGUUAUAAAAGUCAGAACAAUUACAGAAGGAGGAAACGGAGGAGUCGCCAGUGGUGGGGGAGGUGGAGCCUCUUCCACAAUCAUAGCCUAAUCCUGUACUAGAAGCAUCACGUGCUGUCACUCCUCGUUCCAUGUCCAGAGUGUGUUCCAGCCCGGCUGGCCGCAUAGAUUUCUUUCUCCAGAGCAAUAGCCUCCAAUAGUAUGUCGAUGUGCGGGAGAAAGUGUUCCUGGGGAGGCAUGAUCAUCCUUUCACUGCUAGUCCUACAGGACAAAGCCUUGCCAGCCAUUUCACUGGCAAUUUUACUUUUCCAUUCGCUGAUUGAUUUUUUUUGGCAGUGCCCAUUGCACAUGGAACUUCUGGGACCAGAGAACCUGUGCCACAGCAGUGACAAUGCUGGAUUGUUAACCCACUGAGCCACCGGGGAACACCAAGUUCACCUUUUUAAUAUAGACAUUUUCAAUCACAUAUAAAAGCCCAGGCAAUGGUGUAAUAGAAAUUAACACGAGAAGGUCCUCUGGGCGCUCACGACUCAGCUUCCUAAGGUCACUGCACAACCGACCCCAUCUCUCCUGCGUCCUGUCCAUUUCCCCAGGACAGUGGAAUCAAAUCCAGAAAGAGUAAGAGUUUGUCUGCAAAUGUUUCAGCAAAUAUCUCUAGCAGGUAAAGACUUUUUUAGGACAUAUAGCCAAUCGCAUUUACAUACUUACAAAUGAUAAUCAUCAUCAAAUAUCCAGUUAGGUUUCCUAUUACCCUAAAUUUCCCAUGGGCAGCGUUUCUAGCAUCUGAACCCGGAUCCUAAUAUACUGCCACUGGAUGAUACGUCUCUCAAGCCCUGUCCCCCCUUUUUUUCCUUUUUUUUCCUUUUAGGGCUGCAUGGAAAUUCCCAGGCUAGAGGUUGAACUGGAGCUGUAACCGCUGGCCUACACCACACCCCCAGCAACGCCAAAUCUGAGCCAUGUCUGUGACCAAAACCACAGCUCAAGGCAACGCUGGAUCCUUAACCCACUGAAUGAGGCCAGGGAUUGAACCAGAAUCCUCAUGAAUACUUGUUGGUCUCAUUACCACUGAGCCACAACAGCAACUUCCUCAAGCCUCUUUUAAUCUGUACAUUCCGCUGUCUGCUUGAUUACAGAAGCGUGUUAUUUGUCCCGCAGAGUUUUCUAGGUUCUGGAUUUCGUUGGCUGCAUCUCCGUGGUUUUUUGUUUUUUGUUUGUUUGCUUGUUUGUUUUGGCAUUUUUGCUUUUUAGGGACAUAACCUUGGCAUACAGAAGUUCCCAGGCUAGGGGUUGAAUCCGAGCUACAUCUGCUGGCCUACGCUCGCCACAGCCACAGCAAUGCGGGAUCCAAGCCGCAUCUGUGACCUACACCACAGCUCACGGCAAUGCCGGAUUGCUGACCCACUGAGCAAGGCCAGGGAUGGAACCCGCAUCCUCAUGGAUACUAGUCAGAUUGUUUCCACUGCACCACAAUGGGAACUCCCUCCAUAGUGUUUUCUUUCCGUGUCUCCUGUCCCCUGUACCGUGUGCAGAUUGGUAUUAGAUCUUGUGAUCAGCCUCAGCAAUGGGUUGAUUUCUGUGGUUGGUUAUUUACUGGCAAUGACCCUUCAUGGGCCGUACGGGGGUCUUCACUUCUUUCUCUCCCAUUUUUUUUUUGCUUGUUAAUAAUGAGCCAUCAAUGGUCAUUGCUGUUACUUGAUCAGGGGCAGCAAAAUAAUGGCAUUUCGAUUCUAUUAUUACUAUCUCAUUUGAUAGCUGGAAUAUUGUCCUAGAGAGAAAAUUGCCUUCAUCAACUGCUGUGUUGCCCUAACAUACAGCUUAACACAGGAGAAACCGGAUACCUGCUUGAUUCUCUCCUUUGAUUUGUCCAUAUUUCUUUCUUAAAAACCAAAACAAAACCAAAAAAGGGAUGUUUCUCUGGAGUUCUCCAGAGGCAGGAGUAUCACUUCCCCACUGCUGGGUUACAAGGGACCACAAACACAUGUUCCCACUUAUCUCUCGUGUCGGUGGUCAGGAGCCUGAACCGACUUCGUGGGGCCUCUGCUCAGGGCCCCCCACACAGCUGUUAGUGUUGGCCAGGCUGCCGUCCCAUCCAGAGGCUCAAGUGGGGAGGGGUCCACUUCCACACUGACCCGGGCUGUUGGGCAGAAUUCACUCCUUGCAGUUGGAAGUCUAAGAAUGUUGUUUUUUUAAGUUGGUUUUUAGUAUCUUUAUGGACCUAGGUUCUGAGACUUGAGAAUUUCCGAUGUCUUUAACUUCAGGGCUUAAUUUAGGACUAAAGAAUCCUCUGUAACCCAGUGCAACCUUCUUCCUUUCGCCAUAACACAAAAAUAUAGAUUUUUUUUUGUCCCCCAAACUUGCCCGUGUCCUGUCCCUCUGGAUGCCACUUAAGCACUGGUGGGGGAUGGGUGGCAGCUGUUCCUGCAUGUCCCUGCUCAGUGCCCUGGUGGCUUCGGUCAGGACCACUGGCGUGCUGACCAGACCGAGAGCCCCCCUCCAGCCCCAAGCGUGUGUGUGGCUCUUGCAGACCCGGGUGGAGGCCGGGUUUCUGCCCCUGAUGGACCCACCCUGGUCAUUCCCAUGCACCACAGCGUUUGAGAGCCUCUGACAUAACAUCCCCAGCGGGAACAUUCCUAAAAUGUGAGACGGGAGGCUACGGAAUCAAUGUGACUCGGCUCUGUUGAUUUUGUAACUUUAGUUCCACCGAGGAGGCACGACCUUAGCUGGGCCUGUUGGAUCAUUUCCUAAGCAGCCUCUCCUCCGCGGGGUCACUCAUGCGAGCAGAACUGGUGAACUGUGUACCGGGCACCUGGGGGAAGUAGGUCAAUAUUACCCGCUGGGUUCCCUCCCCCACACAAGAAAGGCCAGCUCUUCCCAGAAGGAAGCGCGUCUCUCCGUGAAGACGCUUGGCUGAUUUCCACCAAAAGGGAAGAUGUUCUGGGGAAGUGAGUUGUUUUUAAACAGAACCUGACAAAGCCAGAUCGAGCCAUCCAACAGGGGCGGAGAGGAUAACGACUGUCCUGAGACCUCUAUUGGAGGCAGAGGUUUGCAGAGACCAUGGACUCAGUCACUCCCUGCUGUGAUCGUAGCCUGAGACGCCCCACUCUGCAGUCCCGCCAACCUCAUCCAGAGCCUAUGCCUGUGAUGUCCAGUCUCGGCUGGUUUGCCCAGAGUGACGUCCCCUCGGCCCUCGGCCCUAGAGAUACUGGUCUUUUUACGCCCAGCGCUGCCUCCAAAAGCAGGGACAUCCUGGGGUUGUCCCAGGCCAAGGUGGCUCCCAGAGCAGGGGACGUGAAUGCCUGGGCAGUGUUGGCAGGCUGUGUGGGGGCCCUUCUGAACCCUGAUGCCCCUCUGCGCCCCUGUCUCCUACUUCUGGUGCCCCUGCUGCCCUGUCCUUAGCCGGCCCCAGAGAUGGGCCAUUUAUUGCAUUUAAAUAUUUAAAGUUCCUAACUCAAGCUAGUAAACUGU
rnacentral:lncRNA from 9 species